CAGGAGUCAGGCGGGGGUGGGUGAGUCCUGGAGUUUUAUCCAAUCAUUGACACUGAUGUGGGAACCGCCCUAUCAGGCGCGCGGUGGCAGAGGAGAGGAAAGGAGGGCGUGGCUUCCUGCAUUUGGCGGCGUCUUUGUCUCUCGCUGGCGCUGGCACAGGACCUUGGGAUCUGUCUCUUUCGCCUCCUGCACCUUGGGAGCCCCGGGCUACUCUCUCACAGCCCUUGUUGCCCUGCGAUCUGUAGGUCCUUGGGGACGCAUAGUUAAGGUGCCAGGACAUCCUGGAAGCUGGGAAAUGGGCGGGGAGACCUUCCUUCACCACGGGUUUGAGGCUAUGGCUAAGUGGUGAGCCUUGGGGAGAUGCAGAAAGGAUCCAUCCCAGGCACUUGGCUAGAGAAAUGUCGUCUUUUGUCUGCAACAACUGGCUGGAGAAAUAUUUCAGAAAGAUGUGUGCCUGGAACACCCAAAGGCGUACCUUUCCUUUCUCCUUGGCAUAGGCCUUGCAGCACUGAAGAAAGACCAGGUUUGCAACGGAGCCUUCAAUACUCUUCAUCCCUAUGGAUCUCAGGGGCUUAUAGGGUGACAGGAGAGGAGACAAGCUAGCUUGGGAAGAGUCUUUGUCCUUCAGCUUCUCCCCUACUGAAACACUAUAUACUUGGGGCCACAGUUCAUAGCAAAACACACAUGCUCUCUUUCUUUCUCUCACACCCACAUCUCGGGAACCCAACAACUUGAUGGCAGGUAGCUCUGGGUAUCCUUGGUCUGGCAUUCACCCACUGGGCAUCUAAGCUGUCCUAAAGCUCUUUUCAAUCACUUCUCACUCUUUCCAGGCCCAUGUGGGUAGGUGUUCCAGGCUUCACUCUUUCAGGCUGAUCAUAAAGGACA
rnacentral:lncRNA from 1 species